rnacentral:rRNA from 1 species
AUUGAACGCUGGCGGCAUGCCUUACACACGCAAGUCGAACGGUAACGGGUCCUUCGGGAUGCCGACGAGUGGCGGACGGGUGAGUAAUAUAUCGGAACGUGCCCAGUAGUGGGGGAUAACUGCUCGAAAGGGCAGCUAAUACCGCAUACGACCUGAGGGUGAAAGGGGGGGAUCGCCAGACCUCGCGCUAUUGGAGCGGCCGAUAUCGGAUUAGCUAGUUGGUGGGGUAAAGGCCUACCAAGGCAACGAUCUGUAGUUGGUCUGAGAGGAUGACCAGCCACACUGGGACUGAGACACGGCCCAGACUCCUACGGGAGGCAGCAGUGGGGAAUUUUGGACAAUGGGCGAAAGCCUGAUCCAGCAAUGCCGCGUGCAGGAAGAAGGCCUUCGGGUUGUAAACUGCUUUUGUCAGGGAAGAAAUCUUCUGGGCUAAUACCCCGGGAGGAUGACGGUACCUGAAGAAUAAGCACCGGCUAACUACGUGCCAGCCGCCGCCGUAA